rnacentral:lncRNA from 10 species
CAUGUUCUUACCUAAUUAUGUCUGUGACUCUAUUUCCCUUGGAAAAGUGGCUAAGUGGAAAGAUUCUUAUUAUGUUACUGGAAAGCUUUUCUGCAUUAUGUGAUAUAAGAACCACAAAAGAUUCAAUAGCUUAUUAAAAUUUAAUUUGUUAAUGUUCAACUUGUUUCAGAAGUGGUAAAAUAUGAUCAUCAAAGUAAUCUAAGUAGAAAUUUUUUGUUUGGGAAAUAAGUAUAAUUGCCUCGUACUUCAGAAAUACAAAGCAGAUAUACACAUUAGUUAACUGUUUAUAGAAUAAUUUCUGCACGUAGGUAAUUUGAUUGGCUUAGUGUAAAAGAAAUUGAUUUAAAAACAUGAAAAUAAUUAUAGAUUCUAAAAAUGGAGGCAAUCCUUUCCUUUCCUCUGGUUCCAUACCCUUUGCCAUGUGACUCUGUGGUCCUUGUAACUAAAAAGUCAGAAGUUUUCCGGAACUGUGAAAUUAACCUAGCCUUUUAACUUGUUUAGCCAAUAAGAUGUUGAUAUGAUUGUGUACUAUCCUUGCUCUAUGCCUCAAAGACAAUGUAUGUUUCUCUUGUGCCUCUGCCCUUGCAGUCAUGAAAGUGUGGCCAGGCUAGCCUGGUGCAGGAUGAAAGAUGAGGAGCUGAGCUGACUCAGCCCAGUCACCCCAGUGUAUGUUAACAGCCAUCUAACAUGCAAAAAUACCAAAAUGCAGAUGAUUCGCGGCUCAGUGUGGACCACGCCAGAGUCCAAUGGCCAAUGAUGGCGUAUGACGUCCAAUGGCAGAGCAAAUGAUGGAAGGGAUCUCUCCCUGAAUGAUCUCACAAAGCACAACUGCCUAAUUAUCCAAAACUAACUGAACUGUUUCAUGAGAGAAAUGCACUUACUUGUGUCUUUUUGUUAUAACUAUCCUAAAUUAGCUUUCACCUUAAUUAAUACAAUAUUUGAAUUAGUACUACCAGAUGACCAAGAAUGUAGAAGCAGAGAAGUAGGAACUGAGGUUGACAAUAUAGUAAGAAAUCCAGACUUUUAAGAGGCUCAAAUGUCAUUAAAAAUAUUCUGAAGGCAAAUAAAAUCAAAAGUGAAAAACAGUUUUAACUAUGAAAAAAACGUUUUUUUUUCGGUUGUAAUUUGCUUCAAAUGGCAUAAGAUGCCUGGUAGAGAGGUCAAAUGAUAGCUCAGAUACAGGAUGGCACCCUGAAGUAUUCACCAUGAACCAGGCGGGCAAGAACAUUACAUCUUGCCAGUUCCCACAGAAAAUACCAAUAUCUUAUGUUGACAUGCUCUAGCUGAACUUCUAAUUCUUGGAAAACUAACUUUUAGCACAGUGAAAGGGAGAAGCCAUCCAUGGAUAAUGUGGUAACUAGUAUAAUUUUGCCUAAUCUAAUAAUUCCAACAGUAAUCCAACUUAGAGACUGGGAUGUUCAGUUCCUAAAGUUCUGGCUUUUACCAUACAGUGGACUGUCAUUGUCUGGCUUUUUGGUAUGUGAAGAAAUCAACUCCAGGUAUUAGUCAGGUAGUGAUAAUUUGCAGUUUCACUCAAGUGAGGGCAGAGUUAAAACUUUACUUCUUGCACAUUCUCCUACACUGUUUUCUUUGUGGUCCUCUACAAACAAGAAUAGUGGAAAAAACAAGGGGGAGUGAACCUACCGAUAAGUGGAUGUAUAGAGAAUCCCAAAUUAUCACUUCUUUUUUUAAAAAAUGACAAAUUAAAGCUAGGAAAGUAUAUAGAACUAUUUACAGCAAAAUUUGUUUUCUGUUUUCCUCCCAAUCUGUCAAUUUCCCUCUCCAUAUUUAGAAAUUUCUAAGAUAAGGUGGCCAGUCAUCCUAAUUUACCCAGGACAAAGGGAUUUCGGUGCAGUCAGAGCUUUCAGUGCUAAAACCAGGCAAGUUCCAGGGAAAAGGUGAGGAAUUGUUCACUCUAUUCUAGGGCGGGGAGAAGGAGAGCAAUGUGAUACAUUGAGAGCAUUGAGAAUGUCUACAUUUACAAUAAUCUCAUUUUUAAGUGUAUUUCAGUCAUAAAGCCUUUGUUUACCCUUGUAAUCUGAGCUUUGUGACACUGAGGCUGGGACUCCGAAGACUGCAUUUUUUCUUUGUCACCCAAUUCCCUUUGUCACUAGCGGGGAACUACAGAAGAAAGGAUAUUGAAACAGGUAGAGAGAAGAGAUAUACUCCCUUCUAUUUAUUAGUGCUAUUGUCAAUAUAGCCCAAGCAAUGAUCUUUCACCUGGGUAACAAUAGCUGGUUCCAGGUUUUGAUACUUUUAAAACGAACUUCAUUGUGUUCUCUCACGUGUAUCCACACAUGCUGGACAACACUAUCUAUCUCAUCAAUUUUAGCCCCAACCCUCUAGGGCCCUUCCUUGGAGCUCUUAACUUACUAGCAUCAAGCAGUGCAGCAACCCUUCCUCAGAGGUUUGAGUGCAAGCUCUUUCUGGCCCCUCCCAUAAGCUUCUAGAUUCUGAUCAUUCUGCUUUCUACAGCUAGUAGCUGCUUCCUAUAGUUUCUGUCUUUGCAUUACCUCAGUGUUCCUUUUUGCCUUAUGAGUCCUCCACACGUGAAACUAAUCACUAUAUUAAAUUCUCUUCUGAAGUAUGUAGCGUAGUUUCUAUUUCACUGCCCAAACCUUGACUGAUGCAAGCAGUUAUUUAAAAUUAAAAUAAAAACUUUUAUAAGAAAUGUUAUUAAAAGAUUUCAUACCUAAAAUAUCAAUAAAAUAUUUAAUAGUUACAAAGCAACUGACUUUUAGCUACGAUUGUUUAUUGUAUCAGGUUUCUCCCAAAUAUGAUUAUAAUUUCCUAAUUAAUAACUAUGAGAUCCUAGUGUAGGAAAGUCUAGUUGUAAACUUCAAUAUCUCAUCAGAUAUUUGCAUAAGGAAUUGAAGUAACUUUAUCCUUUUAGCUGACUAAUAUAAAUGUAUUUG